CUUCAAGAAAGAAAGAGAAGAAGAGAGACAAGGUGUAUGGGAUAUGGGAUGCCCCCUUCUCCUUUUUUUUUUCUUUUGGGCGAUAAGAAAGAGGGGAGGGAUGCCCCUUUUCUUUCACAGAAGAAAGGAGAGGGCACACAACAUUUUUGGGGCAUGGGUUCACUCAUUGAAGAGAGGUGGAGUAAUGGGAAUAAAUAGCAC
rnacentral:lncRNA from 1 species